rnacentral:lncRNA from 1 species
UGUAAUAUCUCUGGUAUUCUAUUGCUUAGAAACAGAGAAAAUCUCUCAUAUUACAAGUGAUGUUGCAGAACUUCGAGGGUCUACACCUCCCAUUCCCAAUACCUUAAGGCCCCAAUUCUCACUACACAAAUGACAAUAUGUCCUCAUCUUCUAACUCCUCUCUUACUUAUACGCAACAGGCCUUAUUUCUCUAGCUAUCCCAGCCCCAAACUAACUAACUCCAUAAAGUUUCCUAACUGCGUUCUAUCUAAAUGACUAGCAGUUACCAAAAUGGACCAAGGUCACACCAUGACACUAACCCUUUCGAUUCUAGCAUAUGGAUGAUGCUGGAGUUCAUUGCUUUGGUGGUGCAGAUAAUUAUUACAACAUCUACUUUGGCCAUGUCAAAGAGGGAGAGACCUGUUUGGCCUAUGAGGAUAUGGGCAACUAGUUAUGAUAUUGGUUGUGUUCUUAAUCUGCUGUUACUUUAUGGGCGCUACCAUCAAAUAUAUUUGACUCCAGGAGAUACUCUUAACCUUUCUGAUCUGGAACAUCAGAGAAACAAUGAAGAAACCAGGUAUGUUAUCAACUUCUUCUAUCUUCAUCAAGUUUCUGUCAGUUUUAUUAUUAGUGAUUAAUAGUUAAUCCGGUGCUAAUGACACAUGCUGAAAAUUUGGCUAGAGAAGAUUGACAAACCAAUUGGAUUACUAAAUGUAGAAAAAUACUAAGUAUCAACUAUCAAGUAACCAUAAAGUCAUGUUAAUUGUCCCUUGAAUAAGAGCUUGGAAGAAUCAAAUACUCUCACAUGCCUUUUUCUUUUGAAUUAAUUCAUGGUUUUUAGUGUUUAAACGGAGAAGAAUCUGUUGUAUCUAAUUGUGUAUAAAACAUGUGAAAGAUGAAAAGCCUAAGAUGAAAAUGAUACCAACUUUUUUAUAUUAAAAGUUGCUUCAAGUUGACUGAAUCCACAUCCAAUGAAAGAAAAAUUUAGUUUCUAAACAGUAUGAAAUUGUUAAACAUAGAAAGUACCAAGUAACCAUAAAGUUAUGCUAAUUUGUCCCUUGAAAAAGAGUAAAAUACCCGCACUUACCUUUCUCUAAAUCAGUUUAUGUUAUUUACUGUUUAAACUAAGUAGAAUCUUUUGUUUAUUGCAACCUUUCCAUUUCUAACCAUGCAGUUUUAUUUUUUCUUCUUUCUAUGGUUAAAUUUGAACAUGUAAUAUAUUUUGCACUAUACAGGUUUCCACAUUUAAUGAAUAAGUGCAAGACUUCACUUGAGCUUUUCUUUGCCAUAUGGUUUGUGAUGGGCAAUGUUUGGAUUUUUGAGUCAUCACGUUUUGGAUAUUACAAUGAAGCUCCAAAGCUUCAUGUGCUCUGCAUCACCUUACUUGGUUGGAAUGCUAUCUGCUAUUCUUUCCCUUUCCUACUGUUUGUGCUGUUAUGUUGUUGUGUGCCACUUAUUAAUUGCAUCCUCGGAUACAACAUGGUCUCUUCUGAUAAAGGAGCAACUGAUGAUCAAAUUUCACAACUUCCAAGUUGGACACAUAAACAUGUCCAUACCAACUUAGAGCUUGUUGGCAAUGAUUCUGAAGGCUGUGAAAAUUUGAUUAAUGAAGAUCCUGUAAGUGACACCAUUCUUUGUAUAAAGAGUUAGUAAUGCUACUACUCGUAAAACCAAAAAACACACAAAUUUGCUACUGUAUUUAUUUACUUAUGGUGUGAAUUAAUAAGUUUGUUCUGAUUUGGGUGCUUCCAGGAAUGCUGCAUUUGCUUAGCCAAGUAUAAAGAGAAAGAAGAAGUUAGAGAAUUGCCCUGUUCUCAUAUAUUCCAUAAAAAAUGUGUGGAUCAAUGGCUAAAAAUAAUAUCCUGCUGCCCUCUUUGCAAACAAGGAUUAGAGAGGACAAAAUAGUUUGAGAUAUACAUUGUUGAUGUUACCCAUAGUAGUUUAUAUUUCUCUUUUUUCCACAUUGGUCAUAUGGUUACUAGAGUGAGUUUGUACAUGUAUAUAAUAUAGCUCACCAGUUACCAAAACUACACUCAAUAUUUGGUUCUAAGGAGUGGAUUGCAUAAUUGCCUAUGCUAUACCUAUAUGUUGUAAUGGAUGUAUAAUAAGGUUAUAGGGUUGCUUGAUAUUUGAGUAAUAUGGACUCUAUUUGUGUAAAGCCUAAAAGUAUGAUGUGUCCAUGCAGUGUAAAAAAAAUGAUAAACUCAAAAGUAGCAGUAAUUAAAUAUUUAUCUUAAAGAAUUUUAGAUUCAUAUUUUUAUACGGAUCAAAACAAUAGACAUUUAACUAACGAUAUAUUCAUAAACAUUGAUAAUAUUAAACUUCAGUCAACUCCAUCUCCAUUCAUAAGACAUUUAUAACUAUUUCACACACUUUAAAAAAACAAUAGUAAAAGAUAAUUGUAGUUGGGUCUAAUUGAAAACUCUUCAUUUCAAUGUUUCUUUUACGUAUAUGUAAAAUUUAAGAAUUGAAUCUAAAAUUUGGUAGUUUUUUAAUUUAUGAAAAGGACCAGUAUUAAAAAUUGAUAUAAAGACGUAUUUAUUUGUAUAUAUAAAUUUAUAAAAUAAUCAUGAAUUAGAAUACAAUGAUAUUAAAUUUCAUUAUUGAUAUAUUUCGUGUGAAGUUGUAUUCUCUGUCAUCAAUGAUAUAUCACUUUCUUCAUCUUCAUCUUGAUCUUGAUCUUGAUUGAGUUGCAGUGAUUAUUGUAAUUAUUGAUCAGAAACCCACACACCUUUCUUCAUAAUAACUAUAAUCUUCUACACACUCUGCUUCCAAGGUAACACCUCUCUUCACCUUUCUCUUCACCUUUCUCUUCACAAAUCUUACCAUCAUUCUGUUCUCAUUAAUUAUUCUUAAGUGGGGUUCUUCACCCUUCAUUAAAUUUCUUAUCUUUUAUCCCUUUAUUGUAGAUCCACGAUCUUAACAUGCAUAUAUGAAUAUCUGAAUUACCUUCAAGUCUGAAUCUCAGCGUUUGUAAAUUUCGAAUCUUUUGUUGUAGAUCAGUGGGUUGGUGAAGGAAAGAAUUAACUAAUUACUUUUUCUCCGAUUAUUUCUUUUUUAUCAGCACGAGUGAGUGGGAAUUUUGGUAGCUAUUAGGAGUUAUUAUUGGGAAUUUUCAAGUCUGAAGGCUUUGCAUAAACAUGUAGAAACAAUUACAAGCUUUCAAACUAAUCAUUCCUCCUCAGUGUUUCCAUCCUCUUUCUUUCUAUUCUUCUCUCCUCAUCUUGUACUAUUUUUUCCUUCAGAAAACUUUCAUUCAAAUCAAAAAAUAAUUUAUUUUCAUGAUUUCAUCAUUCAUGUGCUUCAAGGAGAAAGGAAGACAACAAUACAUAAUUUACAGUCUUUAUAUUGUGAGUUAUUUUAAUAUGAUGCAUUAUGUAAUUUCAAAUACGUUCUAAUCCUGGAUAAUCAUAGAAUUUGUUCUUUGGUGUCAAGUACUUUUUAAUAUCAGAAUCUUCUGGAUAUUUAACUUCAAUUGUUGUGCCAGAUUUUGCUCCCAGUGGUGCCUCCAAAUUUGACAGAUCCUGCCAUUUGGGAUUGAGAUCAACUGAAUUUGGAAAUGGUUAAAAGGUUUAUUUUCCCUCUACCGACAUAUGAUCACUUUAUGGAGAAUGAACAAAAUGGAAUAUCUAAUUGAAUUGUUUUUUGGAACAGUUAUGGAAUGUUCUGAUUUGCCAAAGAUACUAUCAUGUUGCAGUGCAUAGAGGGAAUUUUGCAUAUAUUUGCACCCAUAUUGCGAUGUUGUGACCUUGAUUUAAAUAAGCAGCCAACAGGCCUCAAAGAUCCUGAACUUCUUGCAAGGGAAACAGUGUGUAUGUGUCAACCUUACUUUAUGAUUAUGAAAUAGAUGCACAUUAUUUGAGCUUAUGACAACUGUUUGUUUUGCAACCAUAUGCAGUCAGUGUAAGUGAAAUAGAAGCACUUUAUGAGCUCUUUAAAAAGAUCAGCAGUGCUGUCAUUGAUGAUGGGCUGAUUAACAAGGAAGAGUUUCAACUGGCAUUAUUCAAGACAAAUAAAAAAGAGAGCUUGUUUGCCGAUCGGGUAUUCCUUUCUUGUUAUCUGUUUUAAUGUCACUUUUUCUUUUAUUAGAUCAGGUUAAAACUUAAGACCCACUCAAAUACAACAACAACAACAACAACAACCAAUCCUUAUCUCACAAUUGUUUGUCAUAUACAACGGAAAAUAUUGUGCCUGUUUAAUUCUAAAUGGCUGAAAUUUGGUUCUCCUCUUUCUUUUCUAAUACCCACAAAGGUAUUAAAUGUAUGCCAUAUUACUGCAAGGUGAAACCAAAAUAAGGUCAGUAUACUGUUAAAUUACAAUGACCUGUGCUUCAGUGAAACUUAAUAUUAUAAUGAAUUAAAUUCUAAUAUACCACUGUUAGAGGUUUUCUCACAUGUUACCUUAUUAUUUUACACAUUUUCAAGAAAAAUCACUUUCAAGACCAAUUUGUAUGUUAUUUACUGAUACUUGCUUCAUGUACAUACAUUGGUUCAUAUCAUUCAAGUGUUUAGUAUUUCAUAUAAGCUUCUUCCUCUAUGCACUCUCUCAGGUAUUUGAUUUGUUUGACACAAAGCACAAUGGGAUACUCGGUUUUGAAGAGUUUGCUCGUGCUCUCUCCGUCUUCCAUCCAAAUGCCCCUAUUGAUGAUAAGAUUGAAUGUAUGUCAUUUUAUAUUUUUUUAUUUUUUGUUAAUCAUUAUCUUGGAACGAAAUUUCUGUGAAAUGUAAUAUCUCUGGUAUUCUAUUGCUUAGAAACAGAGAAAAUCUCUCAUAUUACAAGUGAUGUUGCAGAACUUCGAGGGUCUACACCUCCCAUUCCCAAUACCUUAAGGCCCCAAUUCUCACUACACAAAUGACAAUAUGUCCUCAUCUUCUAACUCCUCUCUUACUUAUACGCAACAGGCCUUAUUUCUCUAGCUAUCCCAGCCCCAAACUAACUAACUCCAUAAAGAUUCCUAACAGCGUUCUAUCUAAAUGAC